ACGAACGCUGGCGGCGUGCUUAACACAUGCAAGUCGCACGGAAAGGCCCUGCUUGCAGGGUACUCGAGUGGCGAACGGGUGAGUAACACGUGGGUGAUCUGCCCUGCACUUCGGGAUAAGCUUGGGAAACUGGGUCUAAUACCGGAUAGGAGCCAUCUUUAGUGUGGUGGUUGGAAAGUUUUUUCGGUGUAGGAUGAGCUCGCGGCCUAUCAGCUUGUUGGUGGGGUAAUGGCCUACCAAGGCGGCGACGGGUAGCCGGCCUGAGAGGGUGUACGGCCACAUUGGGACUGAGAUACGGCCCAGACUCCUACGGGAGGCAGCAGUGGGGAAUAUUGCACAAUGGGCGCAAGCCUGAUGCAGCGACGCCGCGUGGGGGAUGAAGGCCUUCGGGUUGUAAACUCCUUUCGCUAGGGACGAAGCUUUGUUGUGACGGUACCUAGAUAAGAAGCACCGGCUAACUACGUG
rnacentral:rRNA from 1 species